rnacentral:rRNA from 1 species
CAGGAUGAACGCUGGCGGCGUGCCUAAUACGUGCAAGUCGAGCGAACAGACGAGGAGCUUGCUCCUCUGACGUUAGCGGCGGACGGGUGAGUAACACGUGGAUAACCUACCUAUAAGACUGGGAUAACUUCGGGAAACCGGAGCUAAUACCGGAUAAUAUAUUGAACCGCAUGGUUCAAUAGUGAAAGACGGUUUUGCUGUCACUUAUAGAUGGAUCCGCGCCGCAUUAGCUAGUUGGUAAGGUAACGGCUUACCGAGGCAACGAUGCGUAGCCGACCUGAGAGGGUGAUCGGCCACACUGGAACUGAGACACGGUCCAGACUCCUACGGGAGGCAGCAGUAGGGAAUCUUCCGCAAUGGGCGAAAGCCUGACGGAGCAACGCCGCGUGAGUGAUGAAGGUCUUCGGAUCGUAAAACUCUGUUAUUAGGGAAGAACAAAUGUGUAA